UGUUGGACGAUAUGAAUAUGGAAAGCAAACAUUGUUGGAGAGACGUUGGUCCUAAAAAAAGAAUGAGUUUGAGUAUAAGGCGAAUUAGUGCAAAAACAAGAAUCGCUAGGCUAUCCAAAUACAAAAGAAUCUUCUGCGGUUUAGAUCUUCAGUAACAAAGGCUAUCGAAUAUCGAUCAGAAGAAAAUGCUUUUUUAUAUGAAAAAAUUGAAAAUUCAAGGAAAGAUAUAUUGAAUGCACCCAGUCAUAUUUUAGGAGAACACAGAAAUUGUUCAUCAUACAUCUGCAAUGAAAAGUCGAAUGCAAACUUAAUAAUAACUGAUAUGAAGCUUACCGCUUUAUACGAAAUAAUGAUGGUCCCAGUCAAAUAUCAUGCUAUGCAUUCCGAAAGUUUAUUAUAUAAUGUCGAUACGAAUACUGUUGAACAAUUUAAUUCCAUCAUUUGUAAACACAUAGGUGGAAAACGGAUCAAUUAUUGUUCAAGAUGAUUCUUUCAAGCAAGAUGUGAAGCUUCUGCUGUGGAAUGGAAUAUAAAACAUUUUGUGUCCAUUUUAUCUCAAUCGCUAACAGGUAGAAUGCCUGCACUAUUAAAAUAAAUUGAGGAGAGAUACACACGUCGUCGCAAAAUUUGAGUUAAAAAGAGGGCCAGGCAAAAAAUGGUGAAUGUUGCAAAAAACC